UGGCUCAGUUGGUUGAGCAUGAAACUCUUGAUCUCAUGGUUGUGAGUUCAAGCCUCAU
rnacentral:tRNA from 1 species